GCGGGUGUAGUUUAGUGGUAAAACCUCAGCCUUCCAAGCUGAUGUCGGGAGUUCGAUUCUCCUCACCCGCUCCA
rnacentral:tRNA from 1 species